rnacentral:tRNA from 1 species
GUGAAAAUAGUUUAAAAAAAAUAAUGGUUUGUGGUUCCAUUGAUUCACUAUGUGAUUUUCACC